CUUAUCAAGAGUGGUGGAGGGAACGGCCUGAUGAAACCCGGCAACCUAUCGAUCUAUCGAUGCGAUGUGGUGCUAAAUCCGGCGGCAACGGAAGAUGAG
rnacentral:ncRNA from 1 species